UACGGAGGGUGCAAGCGUUAAUCGGAAUUAUUGGGCGUAAAGCGCACGUAGGCGGUCCAGCAAGUCGGGUGUGAAAGCCCUCGGCUUAACCGAGGAAGUGCAUUCGAAACUACUGGACUUGAAUACUGGAGAGGAUCGCGGAAUUCCCGGUGUAGAGGUGAAAUUCGUAGAUAUCGGGAGGAACACCAGUGGCGAAGGCGGCUCACUGGCCCGGUACUGACGCUGAGGUGCGAAAGCGUGGGGAGCAAACAGG
rnacentral:rRNA from 1 species